UGCAGUCAAUCAUGGGUCUCGUUCAAGUUGUGUUUUACAGUGUGGUUUUGGUUUUUACGGUAGCCUCCAACAGGUGUUGAAGCGCAGUAUUUCAUUGUGGUUUAGCAUUUGAGGUAUUUUCCUUUUUCUUCAUUUAGUCCAAAUACGUUUGGUGUGUUAGGUUUAUGCCUUUGUAUUCUCUAUUGAAGCAACCUUUUCAUGGCUAUUUUUCACCAUAUCAUGUAGAGCUCCAAUGGAUAAUGAUCUUGAUAUUGUUUGUAGAAUGAUUCAAGUCAUAUCGAGUUGAAAGCUAAGCUUGUGGUGAUAGCUAGGCAAUUGUUGAAGAUUGAAAGACUGAGAAGGCAUUUAGGAUUUCUUAUUUAAGUCUUGUAGUAGGAUAUUGUUUCAUGUAUUAUUGUAGAAUGUAUAUACAAACAUAAUAUUAAGAUUUCAUUUUGUGUAUACAAAUGUAAAAGAAAAAUAUUGUAGUUUCUA
rnacentral:lncRNA from 1 species